AAAAAUGCUACAAGAUAGCAUCCAAAAAGCUUUUCUAGACAUUGGCUUAGGCCAAGUAGUCAUGACUAAUGCCCCAAAAGCAAACGCAAAAAUAUAAAAAUAGAAUAAGAUCAAUAGGACCUAAUGAAACCGAAAAUCUUCUGCAAGGCAGAAGAAAUAUCAGCAGGGUAAACACACAACCCACAGUAUAGGAAACAGUAGUCACAAACUAGGCAUCUGACAAAGGACUAAUGUCCAGACUCCAAAGGAACUGAAAGAAAUCAGCAAGAAGAAAAGGUGCCAUUUACCACCUUCCUGACUCAUUGGCCAGAACCAAUGUUAGUGGAAUUAACAUAUGCCCCACCCCAAGUGACUUCUAAAGGGCUAACUCACCACAAGGGAGUCAGAGCAGAUCUUGGACUGAGACCUACAGGACACAGGUACUGCUUUUUCUCUUUUAUUUGUUUUAAAUUUUAUUUAUGUUUUUAGAUCAAAUAGUUCAGAUUGCAUUGGUUUUUAAUCUGCUGUUGUUGGAUUAACAUAUGCUUUAAGCGACUCUUAAAUAGGUGGCUCACCAGGAGAAAGGCAUAGCAGAACCUGGACUGAGACCUACGGGAGACAGAUGCUGCCAUGGGGUUGUAGCCCCACAACUUGCCAGUCUGUAUGCUUCCCUAGAGGUUUGAGCAGCGGAGUACUAAAGAAGCAAGCCACACCCCCACUCCACCUCCUGUGAGGGGGACAAGGAAACUUUUCCCAUUUCAACUGGUGGCUCGUCUGGGAUCUCGGAAGAUCAUCCUGGCCUGCUAAGACCCAUCCUGUGCUUAUAAAAACCCCAAGACCCUAGCAGUCAGACACACAGGAGGCUUGACGUCGAGAGGAGCACAUCAGCGGAGGAACACACAGGCGGCUGGACAUGAAGAGGAACAUGACAACAGGCACCAGCACACCAGCAGGGCACCGACUUAUAGAACGAUGUGGAUUUUGCCUGGGGCAGUCAGAGGAGAGCCAGGGCUGCUGAACGGCCCCAAUCCAGGGAGAAACCAAUCUCCUUUCUGGCUCCCCCAUCUGCUGAGAGCUACUUCCACUCAAUAAAACCUUGCACUCAUUCUCCACGUCCACGUGUGACCUGAUUCUUCUGGAAUGCCAAGGCAAGAACCCUAGGAUACAGAAAGCCCUCUGUCCUUGUGAUAAGGAAUGUGUCUAAUUGAGCUAGUUACCACAAGUUGCCUAUAAAUGGCAAAACUAAAAGACCACACGACCACUGGGGCUUCAGGAACUGUAAACAUCCACCCCUACACACUGCCAGUAUGAGAAAAAUUUGCUGAUAUGUUUUCUGCUGACCUGAUGACAAUGUUCCUAUGGUCACACUAACCACUGCUGGGUAAUUUUCAUCAUGACUCUCGUUUUCAUCUGCUGAAACCAGCCUCCCCAAGAAAGACAACUAUUUUCAAACUGAGGAAAUAAAGUGUUACUAAACCACAGUGUUCUCUCAUGGCUGUUCCUGGAGUUCUUCAAAACACUUGAUAUUAUAAAAUAGAAUUAUUACAGAUCACUGUAUGUUAUGGAUUUAGUCAAAAUGAUAAUUUAAAAUAUGG
rnacentral:lncRNA from 1 species